GUGAGCUGUUGGUGGGUCUAUGAAUCUG
rnacentral:piRNA from 1 species